AGGAAGGAAUCGUACCCGAGAGCUGGUUAUCAGCUAAAUCAAGAAUCGUCAGCUUGUGACAGUUACCUAAAGUGGCGGGAAUGUUACCAACGAACUCGUUCUCUCUCAAGUGAAGCAGAGUAAGGUCAUCUAAUCUCCCAAUAGAGGAAGGAAUCUCUCCACUGAAAUGAUUCCCAAACAUAUCAACCGACUUCAGACUCGUGCAGUUCCCAAUCUCGGUCGGGAUUUCACCGGAAAACCGGUUCUCGUAUAGAUACAGAACUUCUAAUUUGCUGAGGAAACCGAUUUCGUUAGGUAACUUCCCCUCCAAGUCAUUGUGAUACAGAGCAAGCUCUUGUAGAUUCCUUAGGCUAGAUAUUGGGUGAGAUAACGUACCCUUCAAGGUAUUGUUGUUAAGAUAUAAAACCGUGAGUUCAGCGAGCUUGAACAAUGAAUCUGGGAUUCGUCCGGAGAGCGUGUUGUUCGACAGAUCAAGCGCUUGUAAUGACUGACAUUUGCUAACUUCCGCCGGGAUUUCGCCGGAGAGUUGAGUUCCAGACAAAACCAGUUGCUUCAAGCUUGUGUUGUUAGAGCACAAGCUCUUUCGUAAGGAACCAGAGAGACGGUUAUUGGCUAGAACCAAAUCUUCAAGCUGGUUCAUAUUCCAGAACUCUUCGUGUAUCUCUCCGGUGAGAUUGUUGUUGGACAAAUCAAGGGUUUGAAGAUUCUCCAAACCGGUUACUCUCUUUGGAAUCGGACCUUGAAGUCUGUUACCAACCAAGUUAAGGUAGUGUAGAUGGCGCAAAUCACCGAAUUGGCUCGGAAUCUCACCGGAGAAGCUGUUGUUUCCCAAAUUGAGUAUCUGGAGGUUUCCGAGUUGACUCAGCUCCGUCGGUAAAGACCCGUUGAGGCUAUUCAACGCCACGGUGAACAAAACGAGGCUGGUGCAGUUUCCUAACUCGGGCGGAAUCGGUCCUUGGAGGUAGUUUUGUUGUAGAAUUAAGGCUUGGAGGUUAACGAGUCGACCGAGUUGACUCGGUAUUGAACCGGUGAGUCUACACUUGGCCAAUGCGAGCGUCUGGAGAUUGACGAGGUUACCGAACGUAUCCGGGAUUGAUCCGAUUAGGUCGUUGUCUCCGAGUUUUAACGACCUGAGGUUCACGAGUGAGCCGAGUUGACUCGGUAGCUCGCCGGUGAGUUGGUUAGAGAAGAGAUGCAAAGUUUCCAAGGAGGCGGAGAGGUUGGAGAGAGCAGUUGGGAUGGGACCCACGAGACUGUUGGAAGAUAGAUCGAGGUGGAUUAGGUUACUAAACCGGCCAAUCGAAGGAGAGAUUGAACCGGUUAAGUCAAAAUCAGAGAGAUUUAAACCGAUGACGACACGACCACGGCACGUGACACCGGUCCAGUUGCAGUAAUUGAGAUCAUCUGAAUUCCAGUUUUGGAGAACCUUUUCGUCUUCUGGGUUUAUCACAAUAGACUUCUUCACUUCGAGAAGAGUUUGAAGAUCGUCACUUUGAACCGGCUGACCCAAACCCGGCCCGAUCGAAAACCAGAGGACGAGCAACACAAUAAGAAGAGAACUUUGCUGCAUUUUUUUCCCUUCGUUUUUCUUCUUCUUCUUCAGAAACAAGAGACGUAUGAAAGUGAAUGAAGUAUCUUGAGUUUCUUGUGGUGAUUAGUGUGAGACUAGUGUUGGAAACAUAGAGAAUUUAAGACAAUUGUUGGUCCCUUUGGUUGAAGACGAAUGAUUGGUCGUAAGAACGGUGCAUGGGGACUCUCUCUCUCUAUCUAUCCAUCUAUAUGACAUAUAAUCUGAGCAUAUGUUUGUGUAUAUAUAUAUAUGUUUAAUGUGGUGAGUUAGAGGAGAAGUUAAUGCAGAUAAAGCUAGGGAUGGGGGUAUAAGUUUAAAUCUAUAUAGAUAUCUAUACUAUUGAUCCCAUUGUCAUAAUUACCUUAGGGUCAUGUUUCAUUCACUAACAUUGCAUGUUUCAUUAAGGGCAAUUAAGUAAUAUUAAUAACAAAUCUAUAUUGGGUCAUUAUUUUUGGAUCCAGCCCAAAUCAAAUCUCUCUUGGGCCAUUUGGGCCUAUUAAAAAAUCAGAUUCAAUUCUCACCUUUUUUUUUCCUUUGGACCAUUGAGUCCAAGUUCAAAUAAUUUUUUUUCAACUAUUCUUAAUUAUUAUUUUUUUCUUUUCUUAAUAUAAUUUAAGCAUUCAUAAAAAUAAUUGAAUUUUUUUAUUGAAAAGUAUAAAUCUUUAUUAAAAGUAUAUAAUUUUUUAAUUAAAAUAUUAACCCCAUAAUAAAAUUAAUUUAUCAGAGUUAUACCAACUUAAUUCAUUAAAAAAAUAAAGUUUAAUUUUUUUAACAUAAAUAGUCAUUUAAAAUGAAAUACGAUAAAUAAAGAUAAAAUUUUUAAGUCUUUUAUAAAAUAAAACACAAAUAUAUGAAAAUGUGACAUUUACUAAAUAUUUGUCAAUUGAAAAAAAAAACAAAAAUAAACCCGCGCUUUGAAAGCGCGGGUCAAAAUCUAGUNNNNNNNNNNNNNNNNNNNNNNNNNNNNNNNNNNNNNNNNNNNNNNNNNNNNNNNNNNNNNNNNNNNNNGCUUGCCAUUUAGAGAACUGCUUCUUCAACUUCCCCUCGAGGUUGUUGUAAGAGAGGUUGAGAUACACUAAGCUCUUCAUGUCCCCGAUCUGUCCAGGAACAACUCCGAUAAGGUGAUUGUGAGACAGAUCAAGUGAUUCAAGCUUAUGUAACGUCGAGAUCGUAGAUGGAAUGUCUCCGGUGAAGUUGUUGUAGCUGAGAUCUAAAGCACUUUGAAGAUCCUGUAGCUGUCCAAUCUCAACAGGGAUUUCUUCGGAUAAGAUGUUUCUCGAUAACCGGAGCUCGUAAAGCUUGCUCAGCUUGCCUAUUUCUGAAGGAAGCUCACCUGAAAACUGAUUCUUUCCGAGGUUAAGUACAUUGAGUGCUUCAAAGUUUCCAAUCUCUUGUGGGAUUGAACCGUUAAGUGAGUUUCCAUCGAGAGAUAGCACAAGAAGCUUUGUUAAGUUGAAAAUCUCCUUAGGGAGUGAACCGGUAAACUGAUUAGAAGAAAGCUUGAGCUCACCAAGCAGUGGAAGCUUCCCAAGCCAUGGAGGUAUAACCCCUGAAAGAAAGUUAUCGUUGAGAUCAAUGUGUGUCAGCUUCUUACACAAACCAAGCUCUAACGGUAUGUUUCCUGUCAGAGAGUUGCUCGAGACAUCCAACAAAGACAAAGCACUAAUCUUCCCAAAUGUCCAAGGGAUUCUUCCUGUGAACUGAUUCUUCCCUAACCUUAACCGGUCGAGACUCCGAGACUUCCCUAGCUGAAGAGGUACAUCUCCCUCGAAUUCGUUAUCCGUGACAUCAAAAGAGAGAUAAGAGCUUGAACCGCACAACGCACUGAUCGAGCCAUUGAGCUUGUUGCUUGAGAAGUUGAUCCUUGUGAGAUUCUUCAGGUUGAUGAGCGAACUCGGAAGACUCCCCCGAAGAGAAUUGUUGUAAAGAUGCAACUGUUCUAACGACUUCAAGAACCCGAACGAGGAAGGAAUCGAACCCGAGAGCUGGUUGUCAGCUAAAUCAAGAAUCGUCAGCUUGUGACAGUUACCUAAAGCGGCGGGAAUGUUACCAACGAACUCGUUCUCUCUCAAGUGAAGCAGAGUAAGGUCAUCUAAUCUCCCAAUAGAGGAAGGAAUCUCUCCACUGAAAUGAUUCCCAAACAUAUCAACCGACUUCAGACUCGUGCAGUUCCCAAUCUCGGUCGGGAUUUCACCGGAAAACCGGUUCUCG
rnacentral:lncRNA from 1 species